CACAGCUGCCGGGUCAGAGGCCAUCUCACUUUUCCAAAGUGCUUCAGAGAGAGACUCACCAUCAGGGCACGAAGCUUCUGGCUGCCCCAUCCUCAGCAGAACUCUGCUUUACUGCUGGGUGGGGCUUGGGGGUUGGGGCCUACUGGAUUAGCCGUCUGGAUGGGGACAUAGUGACAUCUUCUCGUUUCUCCAUGUGCUUAGUGGCCAUUUGGAUAUCAUCUUUUGUGAAGGGCCUGUUAGAGUCUUCUGCCUGUUCCCUAUUCUGUCAUUGUCUUAUUGUAGGUAAAAGGCUUGUGGUCUGUCUGUGUGGGGUUCUUUGGUGCUAGAGAUUGCACCAAGGUCCUCCUCCUUGCUAAGCAUGCACCCUACCACUGAGCUGUCUCCCAGGCCCAGGGAAGAGCUGUAAAACAUGUAUUUUGGUGUCAGUCCGUUGCUAGAUGCGUGAAUUGGAAGCGCCUACUUAAUGGUUACCUUUCCCCUAGUUCUAAUGGUGGGUUCUGUAACAUUCCGUAGUCCCUGGACCUUACACUCUGUGGCGGGACGGUUUGCCUGCCCCUGCACUGUUGCCCAUAACCUCAUGGGUCCACCUGUCAUGCCUGGCUCUGGAGUGAGGCAGGGUGGGGGGGUCACUCCCUCCCGUGUUCGUUUGACAGCUGUUGUUGAAACGUCCUGCAGUGCUCCUCAGUGUCUCCUGGUCACGCACCAGACAGUGGUGUGGGUCAGUGCCGGACUCCUGCAGCUCCGCAGGUCUCGGCUGCAUUCACUGUGCUACGCUACCUUCAUGGCUCUAGCUGGAUGUGAAAUCUAGUAAGAAGGGUUUCCUUUCUCGCCGCAUCCUCGCCUGCAAUUGUUAUUUUUGAUUGGUUGGUUAAUAGCCACGUAACUAGAGUAAAAUGGAAUCUCAUUGUAGUUUUGGUUUGCUUUUCCCUGAUGGCUGAAGAUACGGAGUACAUUUUCACAUAUUUAUUUGCCAUUUGUAUUAUUCCUUUUGAGAAGUAUGUAUUGAGGUCAUUUUUUGGUUGGAUUACUUGUGUUUUAUUGCUGGUUGUGUGUGUGGUUUAAUAUUUUGGGGUUUUU
rnacentral:lncRNA from 1 species